rnacentral:ribozyme from 13 species
CGAAGAACCAUACACACUUUGGACAAGUAAAAGAGAUCUCUCAAAAAGAGGAACACUCUUUCUCACUUCUCUCUCUCUUUCCUCUUCCUCUCUUCUUCCUCUCUCUCUUUUUGUUUCUCUUCUUUCUAUCUUUCUUUCUAAGAGAGCCAUUCCUGUUAAAUAAAGUUGUCUGCUGGUUUUUGCUUGUUUUAAAAGAGAGAGAAA